GACGAACGCUGGCGGCGUGCUUAACACAUGCAAGUCGAACGGAAAGGCCCUGCUUUUGUGGGGUGCUCGAGUGGCGAACGGGUGAGUAACACGUGAGUAACCUGCCCUUGACUUUGGGAUAACUUCAGGAAACUGGGGGUAAUACCGGAUAGGAGCUCCUGCUGCAUGGUGGGGGUUGGAAAGUUUCGGCGGUUGGGGAUGGACUCGCGGCUUAUCAGCUUGUUGGUGGGGUAGUGGCUUACCAAGGCUUUGACGGGUAGCCGGCCUGAGAGGGUGACCGGCCACAUUGGGACUGAGAUACGGCCCAGACUCCUACGGGAGGCAGCGGUGGGGAAUAUUGCACAAUGGGCGGAAGCCUGAUGCAGCAACGCCGCGUGCGGGAUGACGGCCUUCGGGUUGUAAACCGCUUUCGCCUGUGACGAAGCGUGAGUGACGGUAAUGGGUAAAGAAGCACCGGCUAACUACGUG
rnacentral:rRNA from 1 species